rnacentral:rRNA from 1 species
UGGGGAAUCUUAGACAAUGGGGGAAACCCUGAUCUAGCCAUGCCGCGUGAGCGAUGAAGGCCUUAGGGUUGUAAAGCUCUUUCAGCUGGGAAGAUAAUGACGGUACCAGCAGAAGAAGCCCCGGCUAACUCCGUGCCAGCAGCCGCGGUAAUACGGAGGGGGCCUAGCGUUGUUCGGAAUUACUGGGCGUAAAGCGCACGUAGGCGGAUUAGUCAGUCAGAGGUGAAAUUCCCAGGGCUCAACCCUGGAACUGCCUUUGAUACUGCUAGUCUUGAGGUCGAGAGAGGUGAGUGGAAUUCCCGAGUGUAGAGGUGAAACUUCGUAGAUAUUCGGAGGAACACCAGUGGCGAAGGCGGCUCACUGGCUCGAUACUGACGCUGAGGUGCGAAAGCGU